UACUAUUUUGACAGAUAAAAUGUAAUGAUUUUAGAAAUCAUAAAUAUAUAUAAAUAUAUAUAUAUGU
rnacentral:tRNA from 1 species